rnacentral:rRNA from 1 species
UACGGAGGGAGCUAGCGUUGUUCGGAAAUACUGGGCGUAAAGCGCACGUAGGCGGCGCAGCAAGUCAGGGGUGAAAUCCCGGGGCUCAACCUCGGAACUGCCCUUGAAACUGCAGUGCUAGAAUCUUGGAGAGGCGAGUGGAAUUCCGAGUGUAGAGGUGAAAUUCGUAGAUAUUCGGAAGAACACCAGUGGCGAAGGCGACUCGCUGGACAAGUAUUGACGCUGAGGUGCGAAAGCGUGGGGAGCAAACAGG